rnacentral:lncRNA from 1 species
GGGGUCACCACACUGGUAGUUGGUAGAGAAUGAACAAUAGCAUGUUUUGUUGUUGAUCGGGUAACUUAUAAAUGGCACUGCAGUCCGGUCAUUAUUAGACUUUUACCUGGAGCAACAGGUCAUCAUUUUGUACAAGUACUUGAAAAUUAUUAGGUAUUAGAACCAUUUAUUAUCUGAAUGCUAAUCAAGGAGAGGAGGGAAAAUGGUUUCUUGAAUCACAAUGUAUUUCCUGCUAUUUUCUUAUAGCAGCACCUAACUUGGAU